rnacentral:misc_RNA from 1 species
GAAGAAGAAGAAGAAGAAGUAGAGAAAGAUUCUCUUUCUGUUUCCUCUCAACACCGUGUGGAUGAUGACAAUAACUCAAACUCUAGCACUGUCUCUGAUUCUCUCCUCACCAGCGAACUCUAUGAGCCAGUUGAUGAUUUGGCCGAGCUAGAAUGGGUUUCUCAAAUUGUGAAUGAUUAUUCCUCAGAAUUCUUCCUUUCGUACCCUUUAAAACCAGAAAGCCAUGCAACAGACAACAGAUUUCAACCGCAACCCCAGCAGGCUAAUUUAACCAAAACUUCAUGCCUUUUCCCUGCUCCAAUCCCAGCCAAGCCAAGAUCCAAACGGCUCAGACCCACCACUAUGGCCUGGUCAAUUGGGUUUCCGAUCACAGAGUUAUCAUCAUCACCAUCAUCUUCUUCUUCUUCUCCGGCAUCAUCAUCUUCAGUUCUCACCAACACGGUCCAAACCGUUGACUCAUUAUCGACCGAACCGCCGACCAAAAAAACAAAGGAAAGACCCACCCUAUUCCAGCGGCGGUGCACUCAUUGUCAUGUUCAAAAGACUCCACAGUGGAGAACCGGUCCGCUCGGGGCCAAAACUCUGUGUAACGCUUGUGGAGUUCGUUAUAAGUCGGGCCGGCUUUUUCCAGAGUAUAGACCGGCAUGUAGUCCAAGUUUUUCAAUGGAAGUUCACUCCAAUAGCCAUCGGAAAGUGCUAGAGAUUAGGAUGAGAAAGGAAAUAACCGGACCAGAGUAGGUUCAACCAGUAAAUGAACCGGUUUAGUUGGUCACGGUCUGCUUGCAGGAUGCAGGCUUUGUAACGGUACAAUUUUUAGUAUUUUUUUUAUUUAGGUUUUUGUAUUUUUUUUUUAUGUUUUAAUUUUUAGGUCUAAUUAAUGAAAAAGAAAGAAUUUAGCUAAAACAUUUGACUUGUGGAUGAGAAAAAAAGUGUAGCUAGCAAUAUAGAGUGCCUAACGCUAAUGGUAUGUAUCUGGGCAUCCCCUCUGGCUACUUAGCUAUAGGCGCCAGUUGAUUUGAC